GGGCGGCUAUCUCAGUUGGUUAGAGAGUCUGGUUUACACCCAGAAUGUCGGGGGUUCGAGUCCUUCGCCGCCCACCA
rnacentral:tRNA from 2 species